rnacentral:rRNA from 2 species
UGCAAGUCGAACGCGUUGGCCCAAUUGAUUGAUGGUGCUUGCACCUGAUUGAUUUUGGUCGCCAACGAGUGGCGGACGGGUGAGUAACACGUAGGUAACCUGCCCAGAAGCGGGGGACAACAUUUGGAAACAGAUGCUAAUACCGCAUAACAGCGUUGUUCGCAUGAACAACGCUUAAAAGAUGGCUUCUCGCUAUCACUUCUGGAUGGACCUGCGGUGCAUUAGCUUGUUGGUGGGGUAACGGCCUACCAAGGCGAUGAUGCAUAGCCGAGUUGAGAGACUGAUCGGCCACAAUGGGACUGAGACACGGCCCAUACUCCUACGGGAGGCAGCAGUAGGGAAUCUUCCACAAUGGGCGCAAGCCUGAUGGAGCAACACCGCGUGAGUGAAGAAGGGUUUCGGCUCGUAAAGCUCUGUUGUUAAAGAAGAACACGUAUGAGAGUAACUGUUCAUACGUUGACGGUAUUUAACCAGAAAGUCACGGCUAACUACGUGCCAGCAGCCGCGGUAAUACGUAGGUGGCAAGCGUUAUCCGGAUUUAUUGGGCGUAAAGAGAGUGCAGGCGGUUUUCUAAGUCUGAUGUGAAAGCCUUCGGCUUAACCGGAGAAGUGCAUCGGAAACUGGAUAACUUGAGUGCAGAAGAGGGUAGUGGAACUCCAUGUGUAGCGGUGGAAUGCGUAGAUAUAUGGAAGAACACCAGUGGCGAAGGCGGCUACCUGGUCUGCAACUGACGCUGAGACUCGAAAGCAUGGGUAGCGAACAGGAUUAGAUACCCUGGUAGUCCAUGCCGUAAACGAUGAGUGCUAGGUGUUGGAGGGUUUCCGCCCUUCAGUGCCGGAGCUAACGCAUUAAGCACUCCGCCUGGGGAGUACGACCGCAAGGUUGAAACUCAAAGGAAUUGACGGGGGCCCGCACAAGCGGUGGAGCAUGUGGUUUAAUUCGAAGCUACGCGAAGAACCUUACCAGGUCUUGACAUCUUGCGCCAACCCUAGAGAUAGGGCGUUUCCUUCGGGAACGCAAUGACAGGUGGUGCAUGGUCGUCGUCAGCUCGUGUCGUGAGAUGUUGGGUUAAGUCCCGCAACGAGCGCAACCCUUGUUACUAGUUGCCAGCAUUAAGUUGGGCACUCUAGUGAGACUGCCGGUGACAAACCGGAGGAAGGUGGGGACGACGUCAGAUCAUCAUGCCCCUUAUGACCUGGGCUACACACGUGCUACAAUGGACGGUACAACGAGUCGCGAACUCGCGAGGGCAAGCAAAUCUCUUAAAACCGUUCUCAGUUCGGACUGCAGGCUGCAACUCGCCUGCACGAAGUCGGAAUCGCUAGUAAUCGCGGAUCAGCAUGCCGCGGUGAAUACGUUCCCGGGCCUUGUACACACCGCCCGUCACACCAUGAGAGUUUGUAACACCCAAAGUCGGUGGGGUAACCUUUUAGGAGCCAGCCGCCUAAGGUGGAC